UACGUAGGGUGCAAGCGUUGUCCGGAAUUAUUGGGCGUAAAGAGCUCGUAGGCGGUUUGUCGCGUCUGCUGUGAAAACUCGGGGCUUAACUCCGGGCCUGCAGUGGGUACGGGCAGACUAGAGUGCGGUAGGGGAGACUGGAAUUCCUGGUGUAGCGGUGAAAUGCGCAGAUAUCAGGAGGAACACCGGUGGCGAAGGCGGCUCUCUGGGCCUUACCUGACGCUGAGGAGCGAAAGCGUGGGUAGCGAACAGG
rnacentral:rRNA from 1 species